GAUGAACGCUGGCGGCGUGCUUAACACAUGCAAGUCGAACGAACCUUCGGGUUAGUGGCGGACGGGUGAGUAACGCGUGAGAAUCUGCCCUCAGGAGGGGGAUAACGGCUGGAAACGGCCGCUAAUACCCCAUAUGCCGCGAGGUGAAAUGAAAUUCGCCUGAGGAUGAGCUCGCGUUUGAUUAGCUAGUUGGUGGGGUAAGAGCCUACCAAGGCAUCGAUCAGUAGCUGGUUUGAGAGGAUGAUCAGCCACACUGGGACUGAGACACGGCCCAGACUCCUACGGGAGGCAGCAGUGGGGAAUUUUCCGCAAUGGGCGAAAGCCUGACGGAGCAACGCCGCGUGAGGGAUGAAGGCCUUUGGGCUGUAAACCUCUUUUAUCGAGGAAGAAGAUCUGACGGUACGUGAUGAAUAAGCCACGGCUAAUUCCGUG
rnacentral:rRNA from 1 species